ACCAGACUCCUACGGGAGGCAGCAGUGGGGAAUAUUGCACAAUGGGGGGAACCCUGAUGCAGCGACGCCGCGUGGGUGAAGGAGCACCUCGGUGCGUAAAGCCCUAUCGGCAGGGAAGAAACAGACGGUACCUGACUAAGAAGCCCCGGCUAACUACGUGCCAGCAGCCGCGGUAAUACGUAGGUGGCAAGCGUUGUCCGGAUUUACUGGGUGUAAAGGGCGUGCAGCCGGGCCGACAAGUCAGAUGUGAAAUCCGCGGGCUUAACCCGCGAACUGCAUUUGAAACUAUUGGUCUUGAGUACCGGAGAGGUCAUCGGAAUUCCUUGUGUAGCGGUGAAAUGCGUAGAUAUAAGGAAGAACACCAGUGGCGAAGGCGGAUGACUGGACGGCAACUGACGGUGAGGCGCGAAAGCGUGGGGAGCAAACAGGAUUAGAUACCCUUGUAC
rnacentral:rRNA from 1 species